rnacentral:rRNA from 1 species
UACAGAGGGUGCAAGCGUUGUUCGGAAUUACUGGGCGUAAAGCGCACGUAGGCGGCUUUGUAAGUUAGAGGUGAAAGCCCGGAGCUCAACUCCGGAAUUGCCUUUAAGACUGCAUCGCUAGAAUUGUGGAGAGGUGAGUGGAAUUCCGAGUGUAGAGGUGAAAUUCGUAGAUAUUCGGAAGAACACCAGUGGCGAAGGCGACUCACUGGACACAUAUUGACGCUGAGGUGCGAAAGCGUGGGGAGCAAACAGG